CGCGGCUCCCUCAGGGUGGGCGCGUGCGGGCCUAGCGAGGGCGGGGCCUGGGGCCGGGAGCGCGCUGGGCGCCCCACCCCGCCCCUGCCCCGCGCGCCGGCUGCGCGGGCCUUCUGGUCAAUGAGAGCGCCUGGCUGGGCGAGGCUGUCAGGUUGCUAGAACAAUUAUGCAGAUCCACCAGAUGCAGGGGAAAAAACUGAGCAACCUCACCCAGGUUCUGCUCUCCGAUUAAGAGCGCGUUUGGAAGGCUGAGGAGAUAUUCCAAUGGAGGAUGCCAUGGGGAAAUGAAUGACUCCUGAAUAUUGACACUUCAGAUGUGAGCCUUGUGUCAUGAAGAUGCAUGGAAGAACAGUGAGCCUUCUUGAGAUCUCUCAACUUAUAAAGUGUAACAGCUACCUGUGAUGUGUACUGCUGACAGUGGUGGAGUGAAGAUUGGAAUUCAUCUGCUCACCUUUAACCUGCUGCUCUUUCUAUUACCAAUGGAGUCACCAUGUUUCAGCUCCUCAGAGAACAGAAUCAAUAGAAACAAGCUUAGUGUAUGGCCAGGUAGGCUUAAAUUAGACAAGAUAUUUCCUAUAAGUGACAGUUGUGAGAGAAUGAACCUAGCUGGACCACUUCUCUAAAUCUUUAAUAUUGGGGCUCCCUAAAACCAGCAUUGUGGUAUGGCAGGUAAAGCCACCACCUGUGACCCUGGCAUCCCAUAUGGAUAUUUGUUCGAGUCCUGGCUGCUCCACUUCUGAUCCAGCUCCCUGCUAAUGUGUAAGUCUCCAAGUCCCUUUCCUCUUUAUGUUCUUGGGCUAGACUACAUGAUAUCAUAUAACCUUUAAGGACACUUCCAGGUCUAGAAUCCUGUAAGACCGUAAUAUAUAGUCUAUGUUCUCAAGUAGCCUAUGAUCUCAUGGGAAGGUAAUGCUCAAAUUCACACACACACACUCACUCACUCACACUGCCUUUCCUUUCUAUUCUUCUCAUUUAUCUCUGGAACCCUUCAGUUUGAUGAGAUUAUCUAUACACCAUAUCCUUAAAGUAUUAAUAAUGCCAACCCACAGAAUAUGAAACAUGCUUGUAAAGCUAGAUCCAAAGUUAAAGAAAAUUGGUUCUUUUUUUUAAAGACUUAUUUAUUUAUUUGAAAGUCAGAGUUGCAGAGAGAGAGAAGGAGAGGCAGAGAGAGAGUCUUCCAUCUGCUGGUUCACUCUCCAACUGGCCACAAUGGCCAGAGCUGUGCCGAUCAGAAGCCAGGAGACAGGAGCCCCUUCCUGGUCUCCCACUUGGGUUCAGGGGCCCAAGGAGUUGGGUUAUCUUGUAUUGCUUUCCCAGGCCACAGCAGAGAGCUGGAUCUGAAGUGGAGCAGCCGGGACUUGAAUCAGUGCCCAUAUGGGAUGCUGGCACUGAAGGUGGUGGCUUUACCCGCUAUGCCACAGUGCUGACCUCAAAUUGAUCCUUUUGACUACUACAUCCCCCCUUGUUAAAAAUGCCAAUGUCAAGUCCGAAUAAUUCUUCAGUAGUAGACAAAGUCUCCAUAUUCCAGAAUAAUUAGGGGAAAAAUAUAACAUUUUGUUAAAAGAGGGCUGUCAUAUACUGAAAUUACUUCAAAAAGUUCAUGAAAAUGGAAUUAAAAGAUAAGUUUAUUAUUUUAAAGUAUUUUUAAAAUUUAUUUGACAGGCAGAGAUGUAGACAGUGGGGGAGAGACAGAAAGAAAGGUCUUCCUUCUAUUGGUUCACUCCCCAAUUGGCCGCCACGGCUGGCGCUGCGCUGAUCCGAAGCCAGGAGCCAGGUGCUUCUUCCUGGUCUACCAUGGGGGUGCAGGGGCCCAAGCACUUGGGCCAUCCUCCACUGCCCUCCUGGGCCACAGCAGAGAGCUGGACUGGAAGAGGAGCAACUGGGACUAGAACCCAGCCCAUAUAUGGGAUGCCGGCACCACAGGCAGAAGGAUAACCAAGUGAGCCACGGCACUGGUCCCAAAAGAUAAGUUUAUUUUAAUGCAUAAAAUUUUGAAAUCCAUGCAUAUGAAUGGUCUCCAAAAAUCCAUGGAAAAUAUGUAUUAUAUCAAAAGUUUGUGAGGACUUCAAUUUUUAUUUUGCACCAAAAUGAACUUUUAAUUCAAUUUCCACAAAUUGUUUUCAAGUAUCCCUAUAACACACAUAGAUUACUAAUGUUGAAGUAAGUUUACUAUAGUGAAAUCUACCAUAUAAAAGCUGGAGCAGUACUUGUGGUGAUUUAGAAAGUCCUGUCAUGGUCUCUGAGGGUUUUUAUAUCAUUAUGAGCAAAUCUCAUUAUUUAGGACACCAACUGGGCCAAUAUAGGAGACUGAGCUGAACUUCUGCUGAUACAUGGACUCCCAGGUGAAAAUUUAUAUAUAAUCUGUCUGAUGUAUGUUUGAUUUCUUUGACGCUUAUCUCUUUCAUAAAAGUACAAGGCUGAGAAAAAUGUUUAUUUUAGCUUGACUUUUGUUUGGGUUAUCAGAAACAGAGGACUUUUAGUCCUAGUUUCUUACCAUUUUCCAAAUUAGUUUUCUCAUCUAUGGUUUCAUCCACUGUUCUGGCAUUCCUGUGGUUAGGAAGAGACAAUGCUCAUGAAUAGGAGUCACUGUGCACUUACUCCUCAUGUAGGAUCUCUGUCCUUAAUGUGUUGUACAUUGUGAAUUAAUGCUAUAACUAGUACUCAAACAGUAUUUUACACUUUAUAUUCUGUGUGGGUGCAAACUGUUGAAAUCUUUACUUAAUAUAUGCUAAAUUGAUCUUCUGUAUAUAAAGAUAAUUGAAAAUGAAUCUGGAUGUGAA